UACGUAGGGGGCAAGCGUUGUUCGGAAUUACUGGGCGUAAAGGGCGCGUAGGCGGCACAGCAAGUCGGGAGUGAAAGCCCGGGGCUCAACCCCGGAAUGGCUUUCGAAACUGCUGAGCUAGAGUACAGAAGGGGCAACCGGAAUUCCCAGUGUAGCGGUGAAAUGCGUAGAUAUUGGGAAGAACACCUGAGGCGAAGGCGGGUUGCUGGGCUGAUACUGACGCUGAGGCGCGAAAGCUAGGGGAGCGAACGGG
rnacentral:rRNA from 1 species